rnacentral:snRNA from 1 species
AGCUUUGCGCAGUGGCAGUAUCGUAGCCAAUGAGGUUUAUCCGAGGCGCGAUUAUUGCUAAUUGUGUAUGGUGUAAGAGAAUGGUCUAGUUUCAUUCUUCUGCAUGUGGAUGUCCAAUUUUCCCAGCACAAUUUAUUGAAGAGACUGUCUUUCUUCCAGUGGAUAGUC